rnacentral:rRNA from 1 species
AGUGUACGCUGGCGGUAGGCCUAACACAUGCAAGUCGAACGGCAGCACAGUAAGAGCUUGCUCUUACGGGUGGCGAGUGGCGGGCGGGUGAGGAAUACAUCGGAAUCUACUUUUUCGUGGGGGAUAACGUAGGGAAACUUACGCUAAUACCGCAUACGACCUACGGGUGAAAGCAGGGGAUCUUCGGACCUUGCGCGAUUGAAUGAGCCGAUGUCGGAUUAGCUAGUUGGCGGGGUAAAGGCCCACCAAGGCGACGAUCCGUAGCUGGUCUGAGAGGAUGAUCAGCCACACUGGAUCUAAGACACGGUCCCAACUCCUACGGGAGGCAGCAGUCGGGAAUAUUGGCCAAUGGGCGCAAACCUGAUCCAGCCAUACCGCGUGGGUGAAGAAGGCCUUCGGGUUGUAAAGCCCUUUUGUUGGGAAAGAAAAGCAGCAGGUUAAUACCCCGCUGUUCUGACGGUACCCAAAGAAUAAGCACCGGCUAACUUCGUG